UGUGUUCAUUUGAGUCCUCUUUUAGUAUGUUUGGGGUAUGUUUUGGGCAUUUGUUUUGUACAUUUGUUUUGGGCAUUUGUUUUGGGUCUAUACCGGCGAACAUUAAAAAAAGUUUACGAAAUAAAAAUAAAAAUUAAACAAAUAUCCAUCUCAAAAUGUGCAUCGGCCAAUUAAAUAAUCACUGCCACCUUGUCAGGUUAGCAUAAGGUUAAAUGUGCCAGGUUAUGUAAUGGGAACAGCUAAUGUAAUGCUAAAUGUGCCAGGUUAUGUAAUGGGAACAGCUAACGUAAGGCUAAAUGUGCCAGGUUAUGUAAUGGGAACAGCUAACGUAAGGCUAAAUGUGCCAGGUUAUGUAAUGGGAACAGUUAGCAUAAGGCUAAAUGUGCCAUGUUAUGUAAUGGGAACAGUUAGCAUAAGGCUAAAUGUGCCAGGUUAUGUAAUGGGAACAGCUAACGUAAGGCUAAAUGUGCCAGGUUAUGUAAUGGGAACAGUUAGCAUAAGGCUAAAUGUGCCAGGUUAUGUAAUGGGAACAGCUAACGUAAGGCUAAAUGUGCCAGGUUAUGUAAUGGAAACAGUUAGCAUAAGGCUAAAUGUGCCAGGUUAUGUAAUGGGAACAGUUAGCAUAAGGCUAAAUGUGCCAGGUUAUGUAAUGGGAACAGCUAACGUUUUCUCACUUGUAAACCUUUUCUAAUGUUGACAAGACCCUUUGUGAUUUAUCUUCUGUUCUUCAGACAGCUUUUAGAAUGUUUUGUGUAUUCAUUUUGUGU